rnacentral:rRNA from 1 species
UACGUAGGGGGCUAGCGUUGUCCGGAAUCAUUGGGCGUAAAGCGCGUGUAGGCGGUCCGGUAAGUCCGCUGUGAAAGUCGGGGGCUCAACCCUCGAAAGCCGGUGGAUACUGUCGGGCUCGAGUGCGGGAGAGGCGAGUGGAAUUCCUGGUGUAGCGGUGAAAUGCGCAGAUAUCAGGAGGAACACCGAUUGCGAAGGCAGCUCGCUGGAACGUUACUGACGCUGAGACGCGAAAGCGUGGGGAGCGAGCCGG